rnacentral:rRNA from 1 species
CUUAGCUGUGGGGCAGAUGCGGAGGUAAUACGAGGGGUGCAAGCGUAAUUCGGAAUGAUUUGGCGUAGAGGGUGGGCAGAAGGUUUAUGAGGUCACUUGUUAAAUUCGUCGGCCUAGCUGAAGGUAUGCAGGUGAUACGGGGGAGCUAGAAGUUGGAAGAGAGAAGGGGAAAUCACGGAGUAGCGGUAAAAUGCGUAGAACGCGAGAGGAACACCAAUGGCGAAGGCAGCUUCUUGGUCCAUUCCUGACGUUCAUACACGAAAGCGUGGGGAGCAAACAGGAUUAGAUACCCCGGUAGUC